rnacentral:pre_miRNA from 1 species
ACAGGGAUUACCUAGAGAUCUUGUUAAAAUGCAGAUUCUGAUUCAAUAGGUCUUCAGCUAGGCCUAAUAUUCUGUAUUUCUGGCAAGAUCCCAGGAGAUUCUGAU